rnacentral:rRNA from 1 species
UACAGAGGUCUCAAGCGUUGUUCGGAUUCAUUGGGCGUAAAGGGCGCGUAGGCGGCUUGGCAAGUGGAAGGUGAAAUCCCUCGGCUUAACCGAGGAACUGCCUUCCAGACUGCUUUGCUUGAGGCCGGGAGAGGCGAGUGGAAUUCCCAGUGUAGCGGUGAAAUGCGUAGAGAUCCGGAAGAACACCGGUGGCGAAGGCGGCCUGCUGGGAUCUUGCUGACGCUGAGGCGCGACAGCGUGGGGAGCAAACAGG